rnacentral:lncRNA from 1 species
UUCAGACAUAAAUAACUUCUGAAACUUUAUGGAAUGAGUGUCAAGACUUGAAAAAAGUAAAUCUGUCAAGAUUUUAAAGGAUAACAUCUAGAGGCUGUCUGAGCCACGAUGACAUUUUGGAGUUCAUGGGAGUUUACCAACACAGCAAAGAUCUUAUGCUCAUGAAGGACCAUCACAAAUGGCAGUAAAAUAUUACAGCUCAAGAGAAGUGAGUGUAGAACCAUCAGUGACUAACUCUCCAGGAACUGGCUGCGUACAGCCG